rnacentral:sRNA from 1 species
GUCCCGUGUUCCGCAUUGGGGACCUCGUGGCCAAGGCUGGAGGGACCUUCGAGGACCUGGCGUUGCUGGGUGGCUCUGUGGGCAUCAGAGUUCACUGGGAUUGUGACCUGGACACCGGGGACUCUGGCUGCUGGCCUCACUACUCCUUCCAGCUGCAGGAGAAGAGCUACAACUUCAGGACAGCCACUCACUGGUGGGAGCAACCGGGUGUGGAGGCCCGCACCCUGCUCAAGCUCUAUGGAAUCCGCUUUGACAUCCUCGUCACCGGGCAGGCAGGGAAGUUCGGGCUCAUCCCCACGGCCGUCACACUGGGCACCGGGGCAGCUUGGCUGGGCGUGGUGAGUGCGAGCAUUGUGGGCACCUGCAGGCUGCAGUGAGUGCUGCUGACCAGGGUGUGUCCAAUGCAUGCUGGAGCCUCCGGUGCCUGCACAUUGAGUCUCGGGGUGCAGGCUGGGGAGGUGGCAGGAGAGCAGGCUCGGGGGCUGGAACAUGGGUUGGCCCUGCCUCUCCCAGGUCACCUUUUUCUGUGACCUGCUACUGCUGUAUGUGGAUAGAGAAGCCCAUUUCUACUGGAGGACAAAGUAUGAGGAGGCCAAGGCCCCGAAAGCAACCACCAACUCUGUGUGGAGGGAGCUGGCCCUUGCAUCCCAAGCCCGACUGGCCGAGUGCCUCAGACAGAGCUCAGCACCUGCACCCAUGGCCACUGCUGCUGGGAGUCAGACACAGACACCAGGAUGGCCCUGUCCAAGUUCUGACACCCACUUGCCAA